UUUACUUUGAUUUCCUUUCUUUCUGUUUUGGAGAAGCAGAGCUUCGUCCUCUCUCUUUCUCUUGCUCUCUCAAAUUUCUUUUAGGUUUAUCAUGAGACCUUUUUGAUCCACCAAAAUCUAUUAGGUUUUAGACCCACGUUCUUGAGACUAAAGUGAAGAGCUUGGUUAGAGCAACGUUUUGAUUGGUGGAGAUCAAAAUCCGACAAAGUUGAAAAUUGGGGUUUUUGCUUGUUUCCUCUUCUAGCUUUUGAGAUGAUUAUGGUGUGCCUCUGCCAAAGUGAAGACGUGGAGGAUCUUUUGGAGCACAAUGCUCAAUUAUUUAUUUGUUUUAUUUUCUUGCAAGCCAAGGGCUAUCUAUGUAUGGGUUUGAAAACCAUUUUGUCAUAACCGGGCAAAGCCUUGGAACUUGUAGCUGUUAAGGCAUAAAUUUGUAUUUUGUUGCUUUAAUUUGUUAUUAUCACACGCUAUAAACUCAUAUCUUAAGGAUGAUGAAUGUAUUAAUGCAAGUGGCCUCUCUUUUGUGAAA